rnacentral:rRNA from 1 species
GAUGAACGCUGGCGGCGUGCCUAAUACAUGCAAGUCGAGCGAACAGACGAGGAGCUUGCUCCUCUGACGUUAGCGGCGGACGGGUGAGUAACACGUGGAUAACCUACCUAUAAGACUGGGAUAACUUCGGGAAACCGGAGCUAAUACCGGAUAAUAUAUUGAACCGCAUGGUUCAAUAGUGAAAGACGGCUUUGCUGUCACUUAUAGAUGGAUCCGCGCCGCAUUGGCUAGUUGGUAAGGUAACGGCUUACCAAGGCAACGAUGCGUAGCCGACCUGAGAGGGGGAUCGGCCACACUGGAACUGAGACACGGUCCAGACUCCUACGGGAGGCAGCAGUAGGGAAUCUUCCGCAAUGGGCGAAAGCCUGACGGAGCAACGCCGCGUGAGUGAUGAAGGUCUUCGGAUCGUAAAACUCUGUUAUUAGGGAAGAACAAAUGUGUAAGUAACUAUGCACGUCUUGACGGCACCUAAUCAGAAAGCCACGGCUAACUACGU